rnacentral:rRNA from 1 species
AAAUUGAAGAGUUUGAUCAUGGCUCAGAUUGAACGCUGGCGGCAGGCCUAACACAUGCAAGUCGAACGGUAACAGGAAGAAGCUUGCUGCUU